AGACUAAACUAAAGAAGAAUAGGACAAGAAAAUCCCACUGAAGAUGUUUGCCUAGUCUGUUUGCUGUGCAUGGAGUCUCUGGAAAACCUUGCAAGAAUUCCAAAGGCAUAACCAGGAGGCCAUUUGAAGAAGAAAGGAGGCAGACUCUGAGGUCAACGGAAAGCUCACAUGAAGUAUUGGUACUGCUUUAUGAACAGGAUUUCAGACAGCUAUCAAGUGUGGAAGAAAUUUCAAUCAUGUUGCUGAUGCAAAUUAGAUGUGACUGAAGUAACCUACUGUCCUGCCAACCUGGGCUCAUCAAACACCCAUUCCAAGAGUCCGUGCUGUCUCAGCAAUCAUGAAGCCAGAGUGGCCCAGGGGAAAAUCUUCAUAUGGAAGGUUGAGUCUGGAUGCUGCAUUAGCCAGCAUCAAUGGUGGAGCUGUGUACCGAGGAGCAGGGGACAUGGAGGCUUCUACCCCAUGGAAAUGAGGCUUUCUUCCCUUGGACUGAAAGAAGAUGUCCAGUGUAGGAAGUGAGAAAACAAAUGUGUAGUAGAGAGGAGUCAUUAAAUAUCUCUUUGUUCCAUGAUUAAUUUGUAGAACAGAAGUUGGGCAAUCAGGGAUUGUGGGAGUUGUAAGCAAGACAGCUGGAGGGCACCUGUUAUAGUGGAGGAGGUGCAAAGCUUCAAGCUGACUCAGAAUCACAUCCUUCAACAUUCUUCCCCCAGAAGCUUGAAUGCUGGCAAAGUGACUUUCAUACCCUGGCAAGUUCUGAUGUGAAAAGAAGUAUGUACAGGUAGAUGGUUUUUCAGAUGACAGAAACCUGCCAGCAAUAGUAGAUUCAACUGCUUCUUCUAUUCCUACCAUAGACGCAAUGAAAAGAAGACAGUAGAAUUGUUAAGAACAAAAUCCAUGUAGCUUAAAUAUCAGCUGAAAUGUCAGAAGUGGGAAAAGGAGUUGGUGUCCUUUUCAUAAAUGUGUGAUAACUUUGUUCUUUGGCUUAAGUUUUGAUUUAGGAAAAA